CGUAAAGAGCAUGUAGGCGGAUUGAUAAGUUUGAAGUGAAAUCCUAUAGCUUAACUAUAGAACUGCUUUGAAAACUGUUAAUCUAGAAUGUGGGAGAGGUAGAUGGAAUUUCUGGUGUAGGGGUAAAAUCCGUAGAGAUCAGAAGGAAUACCGAUUGCGAAGGCGAUCUACUGGAACAUUAUUGACGCUGAGAUGCGAAAGCGUGGGGAGCAAACAGGAUUAGAUACCCUGGUAGUCCACGCCCUAAACGAUGUACACUAGUUGUUGUGAGACUUGAUCUUGCAGUAAUGCAGUUAACACAUUAAGUGUACCGCCUGGGGAGUACGGUCGCAAGAUUAAAACUCAAAGGAAUAGACGGGGACCCGCACAAGCGGUGGAGCAUGUGGUUUAAUUCGACGAUACACGAAGAACCUUACCUGGACUUGACAUAGUAAGAACUUUCUAGAGAUAGAUUGGUGUCUGCUUGCAGAAACUUAUAUACAGGUGCUGCACGGCU
rnacentral:rRNA from 1 species